UACGUAGGGUGCGAGCGUUAAUCGGAAUUACUGGGCGUAAAGCGUGCGCAGGCGGUUUUGUAAGCCAGAUGUGAAAUCCCCGGGCUUAACCUGGGAAUGGCAUUUGGGACUGCAAGGCUCGAGUGCGGCAGAGGAGACUGGAAUUCCUGGUGUAGCAGUGAAAUGCGUAGAUAUCAGGAGGAACACCGAUGGCGAAGGCAAUCCCCUGGGCCUGCACUGACGCUCAUGCACGAAAGCGUGGGGAGCAAACAGG
rnacentral:rRNA from 1 species